AACGUAGGACGCAAGCGUUAUCCGGAGUUACUGGGCGUAAAGGGCAGGCAGGCGGGUCGAUAAGUCGGAUGUGAAAUCUCCCUGGCUUAACCGGGAGAGUGCAUUUGAGACUGUCAACCUGGAGGGCAGCAGAGGAGCGUGGAAUUCCGGGUGGAGUGGUGAAAUGCGUAGAGAUCCGGAGGAACACCAGAGGCGAAAGCGGCGCUCUGGGCUGCACCUGACGCUGAACUGCGAAAGCCAGGGAGCGAACGGG
rnacentral:rRNA from 1 species